CAAAGAUGCUUGCUGAGCCUAACAGCAAGUCAGAUUACAAAUCGAAUUCUUUAGUCUUGAUUUUGAAGUUUAACAAUUCCAAUCGUUUUUUAUAUUUCUUGGUUUUAACUUUACUGUGUAUUGCUUACUUUUUAUCGAGUGACAGUUUGCAAUACUUUUCAAUUGUUGGAACUGAAAGCUGUGUUGAACGUUCAUUUGCUAGAUUUGCAACUGAAUCUGAAAACAACUUAAAACUAAAGCUAUCGAAAUUUUCAAAAUGUCUUGAAGCCAAUUGGAACCCUAGGCAUACAACCCAUUCACAUGCGCCUAUACGUUACAUGCCCAAAGGAGAAAAUAUUAUCUUUUCAAAUCUUUCAAAUGCUUCAUUUUGCAAUUCAAAACAUACUAAUUUACGAGUUCUCGUUAUACAUAGUCGGUGCAACAGCUCGGAAUUAAGAAAUGUGAUUCGGAGUACUUAUGCGGAUUUUUCGAAGUACCCGAAAGAUAGUCUAAUUGGGAACUGGACGAAGCUUUUCCUGGUCGGAAAACCGAAUUCUGAAGCCGACCAGCUAAAAAUUACAGAAGAAAAUUAUGAAUUUGGUGAUAUUGUAGUUGCGAAUGUAGAGGAAGGGUAUUAUCAUCAAACAUCAUUGCAGUAUUUGAUUGGACUGAAGUUUGUUUCCUGUUUUUGUUCACAUGCUGAUUAUCAUGUGAAAGUUGACGAUGAUACUUACUUGAGGUUAGUUAAGCUGGACUUUGUACUAAAUCAUUACCAGAACAAGUAUAACGACCUAGUUAUCAGUCCUAACACGACCAAUUUGAAACGAGAAUUGAAAAACGACGAAAACAAUGCAAGAAUAUACACCGGGUCGGAAUGUAGCGAUGAUCACCCCAUUCUCCGAAAGAAUCGGUCUAAACAUUACGUUCCUUACCACCACCUUGCAGGAAGUCAUUAUCCGUUCUUCUGCUAUGGACCAUUGAACGUAUUUUCUAUGAGUGUUGUCCAUGAUUUGGCCAUAGACUGUCCACACCAUUGUGGAACAUUGUCAGAAGAAGAUUUUGAAGAAAACAAAAACAAAUAUUGUUGGAUGAAAUUCGACGAUGUUUUCAUAGGGAAGGAUCUUUU